GGAGCAUGUGGUUUAAUUCGACAACAAGCGUGGAACCUUACCAAGACUUGACAUCUAGCUGCACAUUCGGGUAAUGCCGAAUUCUUUCGAAGGUGCUAGACAGGUGCUGCAUGGUUGUCGUCAGAUCGUGCCGUGAGGUGUACCCUUAAUUGGGGUAACGAUCGCAACCCCUGUCCUAUGUUACAUUUCUCAUAGGAGACUGCCCCUCACCUUGCGCAUAAGCUUAGGCUUGUGAGCAGAGUGAGGGGAGGAAGGCGGGGAUGACGUCAAAUCAGCAUGGCCUUUAUGUCUUGGGCUACACACGUGCUACAAUGGUUAGUACAACGGGCAGCAAAAUCGCAAGAUUGAGCUAAUCCCUUAAAACUAAUCUUAGUUCGGAUUGAGGGCUGCNNCUAGUAACCGCGCAUCAGCCACGGCGCAGUGAAUACGUUAUCGAGUCUUGUACACACCGCCCGUCACACCAGGAGAGCUGGCAAUGCCCGAACUUCGACGUUUGUCGAGGGAAGGUAGGGUUAGUAAUCAGGGUGAAGUCGUAACAAGGCACCCGUAGCGGAAGCUGUGGGUGAAUCACCUCCUUUCUAAGGAG
rnacentral:rRNA from 1 species